rnacentral:rRNA from 1 species
UGUUUCGGCAAGGGGGUCAUCCCGACUUACCAACCCGAUGCAAACUGCGAAUACCGGAGAAUGUUAUCACGGGAGACACACGGCGGGUGCUAACGUCCGUCGUGAAGAGGGAAACAACCCAGACCGCCAGCUAAGGUCCCAAAGUCAUGGUUAAGUGGGAAACGAUGUGGGAAGGCCCAGACAGCCAGGAUGUUGGCUUAGAAGCAGCCAUCAUUUAAAGAAAGCGUAAUAGCUCACUGGUCGAGUCGGCCUGCGCGGAAGAUGUAACGGGGCUAAACCAUGCACCGAAGCUGCGGCAGCGACGCUUAUGCGUUGUUGGGUAGGGGAGCGUUCUGUAAGCCUGUGAAGGUGUGCUGUGAGGCAUGCUGGAGGUAUCAGAAGUGCGAAUGCUGACAUAAGUAACGAUAAAGCGGGUGAAAAGCCCGCUCGCCGGAAGACCAAGGGUUCCUGUCCAACGUUAAUCGGGGCAGGGUGAGUCGACCCCUAAGGCGAGGCCGAAAGGCGUAGUCGAUGGGAAACAGGUUAAUAUUCCUGUACUUGGUGUUACUGCGAAGGGGGGACGGAGAAGGCUAUGUUGGCCGGGCGACGGUUGUCCCGGUUUAAGCGUGUAGGCUGGUUUUCCAGGCAAAUCCGGAAAAUCAAGGCUGAGGCGUGAUGACGAGGCACUACGGUGCUGAAGCAACAAAUGCCCUGCUUCCAGGAAAAGCCUCUAAGCAUCAGGUAACAUCAAAUCGUACCCCAAACCGACACAGGUGGUCAGGUAGAGAAUACCAAGGCGCUUGAGAGAACUCGGGUGAAGGAACUAGGCAAAAUGGUGCCGUAACUUCGGGAGAAGGCACGCUGAUAUGUAGGUGAAGUCCCUCGCGGAUGGAGCUGAAAUCAGUCGAAGAUACCAGCUGGCUGCAACUGUUUAUUAAAAACACAGCACUGUGCAAACACGAAAGUGGACGUAUACGGUGUGACGCCUGCCCGGUGCCGGAAGGUUAAUUGAUGGGGUCAGCGCAAGCGAAGCUCUUGAUCGAAGCCCCGGUAAACGGCGGCCGUAACUAUAACGGUCCUAAGGUAGCGAAAUUCCUUGUCGGGUAAGUUCCGACCUGCACGAAUGGCGUAAUGAUGGCCAGGCUGUCUCCACCCGAGACUCAGUGAAAUUGAACUCGCUGUGAAGAUGCAGUGUACCCGCGGCAAGACGGAAAGACCCCGUGAACCUUUACUAUAGCUUGACACUGAACAUUGAGCCUUGAUG